rnacentral:rRNA from 1 species
GAGUAGGGCGGGACACGUGGUAUCCUGUCUGAAUAUGGGGGGACCAUCCUCCAAGGCUAAAUACUCCUGACUGACCGAUAGUGAACCAGUACCGUGAGGGAAAGGCGAAAAGAACCCCGGCGAGGGGAGUGAAAAAGAACCUGAAACCGUGUACGUACAAGCAGUGGGAGCCUCUUAAUGGGGUGACUGCGUACCUUUUGUAUAAUGGGUCAGCGACUUAUAUUCUGUAGCAAGGUUAACCGAAUAGGGGAGCCGAAGGGAAACCGAGUCUUAACUGGGCGUUAAGUUGCAGGGUAUAGACCCGAAACCCGGUGAUCUAGCCAUGGGCAGGUUGAAGGUUGGGUAACACUAACUGGAGGACCGAACCGACUAAUGUUGAAAAAUUAGCGGAUGACUUGUGGCUGGGGGUGAAAGGCCAAUCAAACCGGGAGAUAGCUGGUUCUCCCCGAAAGCUAUUUAGGUAGCGCCUCGUGAAUUCAUCUCCGGGGGUAGAGCACUGUUUCGGCAAGGGGGUCAUCCCGACUUACCAACCCGAUGCAAACUGCGAAUACCGGAGAAUGUUAUCACGGGAGACACACGGCGGGUGCUAACGUCCGUCGUGAAGAGGGAAACAACCCAGACCGCCAGCUAAGGUCCCAAAGUCAUGGUUAAGUGGGAAACGAUGUGGGAAGGCCCAGACAGCCAGGAUGUUGGCUUAGAAGCAGCCAUCAUUUAAAGAAAGCGUAAUAGCUCACUGGUCGAGUCGGCCUGCGCGGAAGAUGUAACGGGGCUAAACCAUGCACCGAAGCUGCGGCAGCGACGCUUAUGCGUUGUUGGGUAGGGGAGCGUUCUGUAAGCCUGUGAAGGUGGCCUGUGAGGGUUGCUGGAGGUAUCAGAAGUGCGAAUGCUGACAUAAGUAACGAUAAAGCGGGUGAAAAGCCCGCUCGCCGGAAGACCAAGGGUUCCUGUCCAACGUUAAUCGGGGCAGGGUGAGUCGACCCCUAAGGCGAGGCCGAAAGGCGUAGUCGAUGGGAAACAGGUUAAUAUUCCUGUACUUGGUGUUACUGCGAAGGGGGGACGGAGAAGGCUAUGUUGGCCGGGCGACGGUUGUCCCGGUUUAAGCGUGUAGGCUGGUUUUCCAGGCAAAUCCGGAAAAUCAAGGCUGAGGCGUGAUGACGAGGCACUACGGUGCUGAAGCAACAAAUGCCCUGCUUCCAGGAAAAGCCUCUAAGCAUCAGGUAACAUCAAAUCGUACCCCAAACCGACACAGGUGGUCAGGUAGAGAAUACCAAGGCGCUUGAGAGAACUCGGGUGAAGGAACUAGGCAAAAUGGUGCCGUAACUUCGGGAGAAGGCACGCUGAUAUGUAGGUGAAGCGACUUGCUCGUGGAGCUGAAAUCAGUCGAAGAUACCAGCUGGCUGCAACUGUUUAUUAAAAACACAGCACUGUGCAAACACGAAAGUGGACGUAUACGGUGUGACGCCUGCCCGGUGCCGGAAGGUUAAUUGAUGGGGUUAGCGGUAACGCGAAGCUCUUGAUCGAAGCCCCGGUAAACGGCGGCCGUAACUAUAACGGUCCUAAGGUAGCGAAAUUCCUUGUCGGGUAAGUUCCGACCUGCACGAAUGGCGUAAUGAUGGCCAGGCUGUCUCCACCCGAGACUCAGUGAAAUUGAACUCGCUGUGAAGAUGCAGUGUACCCGCGGCAAGACGGAAAGACCCCGUGAACCUUUACUAUAGCUUGACACUGAACAUUGAGCCUUGAUGUGUAGGAUAGGUGGGAGGCUUUGAAGUGUGGACGCCAGUCUGCAUGGAGCCGACCUUGAAAUACCACCCUUUAAUGUUUGAUGUUCUAACGUGGGCCCCUUACCGGGGUUGCGGACAGUGUCUGGUGGGUAGUUUGACUGGGGCGGUCUCCUCCUAAAGAGUAACGGAGGAGCACGAAGGUUGGCUAAUCCUGGUCGGACAUCAGGAGGUUAGUGCAAUGGCAUAAGCCAGCUUGACUGCGAGCGUGACGGCGCGAGCAGGUGCGAAAGCAGGUCAUAGUGAUCCGGUGGUUCUGAAUGGAAGGGCCAUCGCUCAACGGAUAAAAGGUACUCCGGGGAUAACAGGCUGAUACCGCCCAAGAGUUCAUAUCGACGGCGGUGUUUGGCACCUCGAUGUCGGCUCAUCACAUCCUGGGGCUGAAGUAGGUCCCAAGGGUAUGGCUGUUCGCCAUUUAAAGUGGUACGCGAGCUGGGUUUAGAACGUCGUGAGACAGUUCGGUCCCUAUCUGCCGUGGGCGCUGGAGAACUGAGGGGGGCUGCUCCUAGUACGAGAGGACCGGAGUGGACGCAUCACUGGUGUUCGGGUUGUCAUGCCAAUGGCACUGCCCGGUAGCUAAAUGCGGAAGAGAUAAGUGCUGAAAGCAUCUAAGCACGAAACUUGCCCCGAGAUGAGUUCUCCCUGAGACUU